rnacentral:tRNA from 1 species
UAGCUCAGUUGGUAGAGUGCUUGCCUAACAUGCAUAAAGCCCUGGGUUCAAUUCCCAG